AGAAUGUAGUGCGCUUUUCGCUUGCCAUCUUGAGAACGAAGAAUCUAGUGCGCUUUUCGCUUGCCAUAGAGGGAACGAAGAAUCUUGUACGCUUUUUCACUUGCCAUAUUGGCAACUAAAAAUCUUGUACGAUUUUUACUUGCCAUCUUAGGAAUGAAGAAUCUUGUACGCUUUUUCGCUAUACGAGUCAUCUUUUGAACUAAGAUAUAUGUGCACUUAUUCACAUGCCAUCAAUGGGACUAAGAAUCAUUUUUGUACCUUCGGUCGCUAUUCUUUUUGGAAUGUAUUAUCUUUUCACCAUUGUCUUGGCACCUCAAGUUCUCUGUUUAAUCGUUAUUCCUUGGUAGAAGCGCCUCCUUAGUAUCCUUGAAUUUAAGUUACCACCGAAUUCGUAAAAUGCAGUUGACCCGACGAAAUCGUGAUCAGGUAGGAACAUGGCUGUGAUUUUAGAAUGUGUGUAGGCUUUCCAUUAAAUCUUAUUGUAGUCUUAUUAUUAUCGAAAAUCUAGCCAUGUCUUUCGAAUGCAUCGCUACCGCCAACUUUAAUACCAUAAAACGCAGCUAUGUUUAAUUAUAACUUUCCGAAACUGCACAACUAACUGGUGACUUUCUUGGACUUUGAAUAAUCGUUGAAUAUUUGACUUUGCUGUGAUAUUUUGACAUACGCGGUACCUGCUACCUCUCCGACUCGUGAUCUGUGACCUAACUUCGACCCAGAAUUCAUCUCGUGAAUUUAAAAGUUGUUGUACGUUGGCGGUGGCAGUGCCGGUGUUGGUAGUUCUGCGUUAGCGUUGUAGCUCCUCGAAUUGUGCAGCACAAAAUAUUCCAACAUUUAAAUGAAGGCUGUUAUUUGUGGUUAUAUUUAGAGGGCAAUAGGGCAGUUCGUGUAGACCAAGAGGUAAUGAGAGACCAAUUGAAGUAAUUCGUGUAGACCAGUAGACCAAGAGGUAAUAUGUCACCAACUAGGGUAAUUCGUGUAGACCUGGAGGUAAUGAGAGACCAACUGAAGUAAUUCGUGUAGACUAGGGGGUGAUGAGAGGUUAACUGGAAUAAAUCUUGUAGAUUAGGGGUAAUGAGAGGUUAAUUGAGGUAAUUUGUGCUUUUAAAGGCAAAUAGAGGGCAACUGUGAUAUUUUCGUGUAGAAGAUUUUAUGGUGAUUUAGUUGCGAACUGGGAUAGGUGACGGGUCCGGAGUAUUGUGGGCAAUUCGUGAAGUGAGUGAAGUGAACAAAUUGGUGGAGUUUGUAGAUGGUUUAGUGGUGAUGCGGGGACGAAUCGAAGCAGUUAGUGAAGAUAGUUUGUGAGGCAAGUACUCGUAGUUCGGUACAGUACAGGUUUAGAAGUGAUUCGGCGGUGCAGUUCGUGCUGAUGGUUAAUUGGCGAAGUACGAUGAACUAACUUGAUCCGUAAGGAUGAUGAUACUGAUGUAGGCCAUAUACAAUUUUGGAAUGAUCCUGUAAUCGAAAGGUAAUGCUUUCUCUGCUCUUGUACAUAUUACGCCCUCAUGGUGAUAAAUUUGUACAGUCGUUCAGAUUAGUUAUACCGUGUACAGAAAAAACGACGACUUCCCAAGAAUAUCAUCUCCCAGAAAUACAACUCAUCAAGCCCCGAUUUAAUCACCCCGAGUUAAACAUUCCUUCAUAAAAUAGUAUUAAAAAUUGAUGAAAAUGUAAUGUAUUCAACUCCAUAUUUUCAUUUUUUUUCAGUGACCUAACGACUAAAUUUUCAGUCAAAUUCUGUGUCUAGGCAUUGAGAGCGGCAACAUGCGGCCACUUUAUUCAGUAGCUUUAAGGUUCCGGUGCUAAUAUAUUCACUAGCUUAGUUCGUAGAAAUAUCAUGAAAAGCUGUUAACGUAUUACGUAAUUUGUAGAGGGCCUUCUGAAAUUCGUAUUCGUAGCUCGCCCACCCUGCCUCGGCGGGGUGAACAAAAAUCAUAUUAAUUAAAAUUUUCAUCAGAGUCUUUCUUCUGGAGGAUAAUAUCCAAAUCCUCCUAAUUCUCCAAAAAAAUCAUAUUGUAUCAUUUUGCAAAUUGUAUCAUUGCAUCAUCAUCGAGAACGAUGCUUGUAACUGCGCCAUCGAGAUUUUGGGUCGCGCCCAACGUUGCUCAAAUUUCCCAUCAUGGUAGAUGAUGCUGGUCUCUUUUGUACAUUUUCUGUCAAUUCUUCUCCCUUUUACAUUCCGCUUCGUAGUUUUGUUUUUCAUAAGUAAUUAGUGUCAUUCUUUUAAUAGCUAUUCCGCCGUUGCUGGUUCGACGGUCGCGAAUGGCCUCGAAUAUUUUAAUUUUCUCUGGAAUAAUUUGUUUACUAUUUAAAUGCUCUCGGUUUACUACUUAAACGGUUCGGUGCAAAGACUAGACCUCGAGCGUGUAAAAUUCUGAUCCAGCUUCCACUGAAAUUCAAAAUCAAACUUAUUCGUGUUUAAACUUGUUUUUAUAUUUUCUUUUUAGAGACUUAAAAAGGUAAUUAAUAAUAAAUUAUUGAAAAAACUUGUUCCCUUGUUUGUAUUUCAUCGUAGAAGAAUGUUAUUUGUGUCAAAUAUAAAAAAAUUGUUGAAAUUUUCUUGUUGAAUAUCAGUUUUUCAUAUUUAAAAAUUUUUUUUCUUUCAGUAAGUGUUAUUGCUUCUCCUCCCAUCCUAUUUGCUGCUUCAGUUAACGAAUCAUGUAUUUAAUAAUAAUAAAAGAUGGGUCACGGAAAAGAUGGGUCACGGGUGCUAUAUCUCAAGUCAGAACUCCGUUCCAUUUUAGUGUUUAAUUUUUAUACGAAUUUUUCAGAGGUGAAUAAAGUUUGAUGUGAUUACCGGUAGCUGUUAAUGUUCUUGUUGUUUUAUAUAUAUUGUGCGAGGUGAAUUGAAGCGUCAUCAUGCCAAUAAAAAUAGUCCUUUCUGACCAAUAAAUUUAUUACGAGUUUU
rnacentral:lncRNA from 1 species